rnacentral:rRNA from 1 species
AAUCAACGCUGGCGGCGUGCCUCAGACAUGCAAGUCGAACGCGAAAGGCUCCUUCGGGGGCCGAGUAGAGUGGCGCACGGGUGAGUAACACGUAGGUAAUUUGCCUUUGGGUGGGGAAUAACUCAGGGAAACUUGAGCUAAUACCGCAUAAUGCAGCGGCUCGACAUCGAGACAGUUGUUAAAGCGGGGGAUCGCAAGGACCUCGCGCCUGAAGAGAAGCCUGCGGCAGAUUAGCUAGUUGGUAGGGUAAUGGCCUACCAAGGCGACGAUCUGUAACCGGCCUGAGAGGGCGGUCGGUCACACUGACACUGACAUACGGGUCAGACUCCUACGGGAGGCAGCAGUCGGGAAUUUUGGGCAAUGGGCGCAAGCCUGACCCAGCAACGCCGCGUGAAGGAUGAAAUCCCUCGGGAUGUAAACUUCGCAAGAAUGGGAAGAAAUAA